GACGAACGCUGGCGGCGUGGAUUAGGCAUGCAAGUCGAACGGUAUCAUCCUUUCGGGGGUGAGAGAGUGGCGAACUGGUGAGUAACACGUAGGUUAUCUACCCUCAAGACGGGGACAACCCAGGGAAACUUGGGCUAAUACCGGAUGUGAGCAACUUUUAGUUGUUUGAAAGGUGGCGUAAGCUGUCGCUUGGGGAUGAGCCUGCGUCCUAUUAGUUAGUUGGUGAGGUAACGGCUCACCUAGGCAAUGAUAGGUAGGCGGCCUUAACGGGUGGUCGCCCACACUGGGAUUGAGAUACGGCCCAGACUCCUACGGGAGGCAGCAGUCGAGAAUAGUCUACAAUGGUCGGAAGACUGAUAGUGCGACGCCGCGUGAACGAUGAAUCCCUUCGGGGUGUAAAGUUCUUUUAUAUGUGAGCAGUGCUUCUUAUAUUAACAGUAUGGGGAGAGAGAUAUUAGCAUAUGAAUAAGCAACGGCUAACUCCGUGCCAGCAGCCGCGGUU
rnacentral:rRNA from 1 species